rnacentral:rRNA from 1 species
CCUACGGGUGGCAGCAGUGAGGAAUAUUGGUCAAUGGGCGCGAGCCUGAACCAGCCAAGUAGCGUGAAGGAUGACUGCCCUACGGGUUGUAAACUUCUUUUAUAAAGGAAUAAAGUGAGGCACGUGUGCCUUUUUGUAUGUACUUUAUGAAUAAGGCUCGGCUAACUCCGUGCCAGCCGCCGCGGUAAUACGGAGGAACCGAGCGUUAUCCGGAUUUUUUGGGGUUUAAGGGGGCGUAGAUGGGGUGUUAAAGCAGGUGUUAAAGUUUGGGGGUCAACCGUAAAAGUGCACUUGAUACUGGCAGCCUUGAGUACAGUUGAGGUAGGCGGAAUUCGUGGUGUAGCGGUGAAAUGCUUAGAUAUCACGAAGAACUCCGAUUGCGAAGGCAGCCUUCUAAACUGCCACUGACAUUGAUGCUCGAAAGUGUGGGUAUCAAACAGGAUUAGAUACCCGUGUAGUC